rnacentral:misc_RNA from 1 species
GAUGAAGAACGCAGCGAAAUGCGAUAAGUAAUGUGAAUUGCAGAAUUCAGUGAAUCAUCGAAUCUUUGAACGCACAUUGCGCCCGCCAGUAUUCUGGCGGGCAUGCCUGUUCGAGCGUCAUUUCAACCAUCAAGCCCUGCUUGUGUUGGGGUCCUGCGGCUGCCCGCAGGCCCUGAAAACCAGUGGCGGGCUCGCUAGUCACACCGAGCGCAGUAGCACAUCUCGCUCAGGGCGUGCGGCGGGCUCCAGCCGUUAAAGCACCCACCUUUCGCAAGGUUGACCUCGGAUCAGGUAGGAAUACCCGCUGAACUUAAGCAUAUCAAUAAGCGGAGGA